UUAAGCUAUAAACUGUUUCAGUAUUCAUUAUUGUACUUGAGAUUUUUGAUAUCGAUUCUCAGAAAGAAAAGCAUAAACAAUCAUAUAGAAUACUUAGUGGAUUGAUAGCCUCAUAGCUAUCCGCGGUUUUUUACCUUAUUCCUGGGUUUUCCGCGUCAACACUCCUCUGUGUCGUGUCUCUUUAUUUGUGUCGUUGAUUCUUUGCUUAGUUAGUGUCGACCCUAGCCGAAAGUCGCCCCCAUACGAAUUUUGGCAUAAACACUUGCCUAUGUAAUUUUCAUAUUCAUGUUCUUUGGAUGGCUUGCUACAGUAUCAGACAUUAAAGUGCCGGAGAUGGCGACACAGGGCCAAACACAUGUGGAAUUGGUGUAUAUUCGCCUGCACAUGUGUUGACAAAAGAACUUCAAUCUUUGGUGAAGAGUUCUAUAGCUAUUCCCACUGUGAAAGGGAUGGGAGAAUAAGGUUACAAUUUUUUUGGGUCGUGUAUGUCGGGCUUAUGAUUGAAAAGAAAUUUGAACUUCCUAUGCUUAUUAAGUACAAUGUCCAGUUUGGAUACCAGAAUGCCAGGGUUCUUGGAAUUACAGCCAAGGGGGAUGACCUUUAAGAAGCACGAGAUAGUGGCCUGAAGGGUUUUAUCCACAAGAUAUCAGCUGGAGAGCCCUCCCCAAAAGCAAUUUUCAUCAAGAUGUUUCAUUUUCGUUGUUUAGAAAUUUUGGAUAUAUAUCGUGAAACAUUAAACUAUAACACGUUAGGGAAGAAAGAGAGAUAAGAGUAGUUGUUUGAACUUUAGAUAGCCCAAUCUUGUUUUCUUAUUAUUUCUAUGUAUUAGAUUUCCCCUUGCGUUAUUUCUAAUUGAGAAUACAUAAAGAAGUCUCCGAAUGUUGUAUCUUUAGAUAUUGAAUUUUACCAUUUAAUCACGAUUCUUGAACUUUGGCUGGCUCAUCCAUGUACUUAAAUUUGAUGAUCUCCUUUUGCUAAUCUGUUUCAC